rnacentral:lncRNA from 1 species
UUGCUUCCCAAGAAAGUGUCUAAAGGAGAAGGUGCAGAUCAUCACACUUGGAAAGUGUCUGAAAGUAUAUCUCCAUUAUCAACAAAUGACUUUUGUAUUCCUGGGGAGAACUGGGAAACUGAAAUUUCAGGUAUAGGGACGAUGUGUGAGGAGUUCAAUACAGAAUUUAGGAGGAAAGUUCAUAUCCGCCACAAAAUGAUGGAUUAUUUUACUAAGCAGUCUUGGAAAACGGCUCAACAACAUAUAAAAACAGUGGACCAUCAGAUUCAGGAGUAUAGGUCUGUGCUAAAAGUCCCUUCUGAAAUAUUCUAAGUGCUGUGCUAUAAGUGCUAUCAUUAAAAAAAAUAAUCUUAUUUU